rnacentral:rRNA from 1 species
AGUGAACGCUGGCGGUAGGCCUAACACAUGCAAGUCGAACGGCAGCACAGUAAGAGCUUGCUCUUACGGGUGGCGAGUGGCGGACGGGUGAGGAAUACAUCGGAAUCUACUUUUUCGUGGGGGAUAACGCAGGGAAACUUACGCUAAUACCGCAUACGACCUACGGGUGAAAGCAGGGGAUCUUCGGACCUUGCGCGAUUGAAUGAGCCGAUGUCGGAUUAGCUAGUUGGCGGGGUAAAGGCCCACCAAGGCGACGAUCCGUAGCUGGUCUGAGAGGAUGAUCGGCCACACUGGAACUGAGACACGGUCCAGACUCCUACGGGAGGCAGCAGUGGGGAAUAUUGGACAAUGGGCGCAAGCCUGAUCCAGCCAGACCGCGUGGGUGAAGAAGGCCUUCGGGUUGUAAAGCCCUGUUGUUGGGAAAGAAAAGCAGCAGGUUAAUACCCCGCUGUUCUGACGGUACCCAAAGAAUAAGCACCGGCUAACUUCGUG